ACGGGUGAGUAAUACAUCGGAACGUAUUCUGGAGUGGGGGAUAGCCCGGCGAAAGCCGGAUUAAUACCGCAUACGCUCUGAGGAGGAAAGCGGGGGACCUUCGGGCCUCGCGCUCAAGGGGCGGCCGAUGGCGGAUUAGGUAGUUGGUGGGGUAAAGGCCUACCAAGCCGACGAUCCGUAGCUGGUCUGAGAGGACGACCAGCCACACUGGGACUGAGACACGGCCCAGACUCCUACGGGAGGCAGCAGUGGGGAAUUUUGGACAAUGGGGGCAACCCUGAUCCAGCAAUGCCGCGUGUGUGAAGAAGGCCUUCGGGUUGUAAAGCACUUUUGUCCGGAAAGAAAUCAUCGGGGCCAAUACCCCUGGUGGAUGACGGUACCGGAAGAAUAAGCACCGGCUAACUACGUGCCAGCAGCCGCGGUAAUACGUAGGGUGCGAGCGUUAAUCGGAAUUACUGGGCGUAAAGCGUGCGCAGGCGGUGCUGUAAGACCGAUGUGAAAUCCCCGGGCUUAACCUGGGAACUGCAUUGGUGACUGCAGCGCUGGAGUAUGGCAGAGGGGGGUGGAAUUCCACGU
rnacentral:rRNA from 1 species